GUACAUUGCAUUUAGAGGCCGAUGGUGGAUGCCUUGGGUGUUGGAGGCGAUGAAGGGCGUGGCGUGCCUGCGAUAAUCUUCGGGGAGGUGGCGAGCAACCUUUGAUCCGGAGGUGCCCGAAUGGGGAAACCCCGUACUGUGAAAGCAGUAUGAGCUUCGUCGUAUGACGAAGUGGCGAACCCGCUGAAGUGAAACAUCUCAGUAAGCGGAGGAGAAGAAAACGAAUGUUAUUUCCUUAGUAGCGGCGAGCGAAAAGGAAACAGCCCAAACCAGCCCGCAUCACACUGUGCGUGAUGCGUAAAUCAAAAUUCAAAAUGCAAAUCUCAAAAUGUUGGUACUUGCCUUCGGCAAGACUAUUAUAUUGCGCCAAAGGCGCAAACCUUCAUUUUGAUUUUUGAUAUUUGAUUUUUGCAUUUGUGUCGCGCUUGGCGUGAUGCGGGUUGGGGUUGUAAGGGGACAGUGUCGAGGGUGCUUUUGUACCCUUGAGGGAGAAUACAAAGUCAGACGGUUAGAAGAAGCUUCUGGAAAGAAGCGCCAAAGAGGGUGAUAGCCCCGUAUUUGAAAACCGAUCUGCGCUCCUUGCUGUCUUUCUUGAGUACCAUGGGAAAAGAAAACCCCGUGGGAAUCAUCCCGGACUGCCGGGAAAGGCUAAAUACUCCCAACACACCGAUAGUGAACCAGUACCGUGAGGGAAAGGUGAAAAGUAGCCCGGAGAGGGCGGUGAAAUAGAACCUGAAACCAUCUGGCCUACAAAGAGUAGGAGCUACCCGCAUCACACUGCGCGUGAUGCGGAGAACACAAAACAUAGAAGCACAAAACACAAACAAUACCCAAUAACCAAAAUUACAAAUUCCAAACCUAUGCGAGAAGCUUGGGUUUGGAAUUUGGAAAUUGGAAUUUUAAAUUUGUUUGGAGUUUGUGUUUUUGGAAUUUGUAUUUUCCCGUAUCGCGCUUGGCGUGAUGCGGGUGGUGACUGCGUGCUUUUUGCAGAACGAGCCAACGAGUGUUUUUCCGCGCUUUGUCUAAGCCCUUCUGGGGUGGAGGCGUAGCGAAAGCGAGUGUGAAUAGCGCGUACAUGAGCGCGGGGAAACGACCCGAAGCCAGGCGAGCUUGCCAUGGGCAGGAUGAAGGUAGACGAAAGUCUACCGGAGGUCCGAACCCGUAGGUCGUGCAAUUCCUUGGGAUGACCUGUGGUAAGGAGUGAAAAGCUAAUCGAGCCUGGUAAUAGCUGGUUCUUCCCGAAAUAGCUUUAGGGCUAGCGUUCGUUAGCAAGAUUCGGAGGUAGGGCACUGGAAGGGAUACCGCGGGCUUUGCCUAGGUAUUUCUACCAAACCGCGAAUGCCGAAUCCCAAGAACGAGCAGUCAGAGCGUGGGGGCUAAGCUCCAUGCUCAAAAGGGGAACAGCCCAGAUCCUCGUCUAAGGUCCCUAAAUCCAAGCUAAGUGCUAAGCAAGGAAGUGAGAUUCCAUAGAUAGCUAGGAGGUUAGCUUAGAAGCAGCUAUCCUUUAAAAAGUGCGUAACAGCUUACUAGCUAAGGAGUCUUGCGCCGAAGAUUUAUCGGGGCUCAAGCUUGGUACCGAAGACAGGAAUGCCGGCCGCAUCACACUGCGUGUGAUGCGAAAAUCAAAACUCAAAAUGCAAAUCUCAAAAUGUUGGUAUCUGCCUGCGGCAGAAUAUAUUGCGCCAAAGGCGCAUACCUUCACUUUGAUUUUUGAUAUUUGAUUUUUGCAUUUGCAUCGCGCUUGGCGUGAUGCGGCUGGCGUGGUAGGGAAGCGUCCCUAUUGCGCAGAAGCUUCAUCGGAAGGUGGAGUGGAGCGAUGGGGAGUGAGAAUGUUGGCAUGAGUAACCGCAAGGAGGGUGAAAGCCCCUCCCACCGAAAACCCGAGGUUUCCUUGGCAAUGGUGAUCAACCAAGGGUUAGGCGGGCCUUACCGUGUAUCCGAACGGAUCCACGGGAUGGACAGCCGGUUAAUAUUCCGGCCCCUCGCCAGAUGCUUUUUUGGAUGACGGAGAAUAGUAGUCCGUGCAGAUUAUUGGAUUUCUGUUCGUUCUGUAAGUUCUUCUUCGGAAGCGCAAGCAGUGCGAAAACUUUCUCCUUCGGGAGGAGGAAUUCGGAUGAGCAUUCUUCCCAGAAAAUCUCCAAGAAUAUGAGUCUGGUGAGCCCGUACCGCAAACCGACACAGGUGGGUUGGCGUAAGAGUGCCUAGGUGAACGGGUGAAAGCUCCUGAAGGAACUCGGCAAAUCAGUGGUCGUACCUUCGGAAUAAGACCCGCCCAUCCGCUGCUUCGCACCGGAAAUUCGAAUAUCGAAUAUCGAAAUCCGAAACAAAUCAGAAUGAUCAAAAUUAUAAACAACACCAGAUACCCAUCCCAAGGGGAGAUGGCGUGGCGCGUGACGUUUUACAUUUUGAACAUUAUAAUUUCGAAUUUGUUUCGUGCUUCGGAUUUAAGAUUUCGUGCUUCCGCUGCGGAGCAGCGGCUUGGGCCGCAGCAAACGAUUUCCCGGCGACUGUUUACCAAAAACACAGGUCUCUGCUAACUCGUAAGAGGAUGUAUAGAGGCUGACGCCUGACCAGUGCUGGAGUGUUAAACUUGCCGGCAUCAGACAGCUUGCUGUUUGUUGCUGAGUGAGUGAAGCCCCAGUGAACGUCCGCGGUAACUAUAACCGUGUUAAAGUAGCGUAUUCCCUUGCCUGGUAAAUUCAGGCCCGCAUGAAUGGCGUCACGACCGGGAAACUGUCUCCAGGAGCCGCCCGGUGAAAAUGCAGUGGGGGUAAAGAUGCCCCCUACCUGCGGCUAGACGGAAAGACCCCGGGAGCUUUACUAUAACUUCUUAUUGUCUUGUUUGCUUUUCUGCGUAGCGUAGCGGGUAGACUUUGAAACCUUGAUUUCGGUUGAGGUGGAGUCGCCAAUGAAACACCCGUCUGAAAAGUGGACAAAACUAACCUCGCUAAGCGGGGGACAGUGAGUGGCUGGUAGUUUAAGUGGGGUGCUUGCCUCCUAAAAAGUAGCGGAGGCGUUUAAAGGUUGGCUAGCUCCGGAUGGAAAUCGGAGUGAUAGUGUAAAGGCAUAAGCCAGCUUUACUGCGAGACGGAUAUGUCGAGCAGUUGGGAAACCAGAACUUAGUGAACCGACGUGUUUUUGUGGAACACGCGGAGAUCAUCAGACAAAAGCUACCCCGGGGAUAACAGGCUAGUAGGGCCCGCGAGUCCAUAUCUACGGCCCUGUUCGGCACCUCGAUGUCGGCUCAUCACAUCCUGGGGGUGAAGCAGCUCCCAAGGGUUUGGUUGUUCGCCAAUUAAAGUGGUACGUGAGCUGGGUUCAGACCGUCGUGAGACAGGUUGGUCCCUAUCUACCGCAGGCGCCGAGGAUUGAGAGGAGUCGUUCCUAGUACGAGAGGACCGGAAUGAACUAACCUCUGGUGUACCAGUUGUUCCGCCAGGAGCAUCGCUGGGUAGCUAAGUUGGGAAGGGAUAAGCGCUGAAAGCAUAUAAGCGCGAAGCCUACCUUAAGAUUAAUCCUCAGAGACCCCUUGAAGAUGACGAGGUUGAUAGGCUCCAGGUGUAAGCUCGGUAACGAGUUUAGCCGAGGAGUACUAAUGGUCUUUGCAAUGUACUU
rnacentral:rRNA from 1 species